rnacentral:rRNA from 1 species
AAAGAAAGUAAAUAAGGGCGUAUGGCGGAUGCCUAGGCUCAUGGAGGCGAUGAAGGACGUGAUAAGCUGCGUUAAGCCUUGGGUAGGUGCAAAUAACCUUUGAUCCAAGGAUUUCCGAAUGGGACAACCCAACUAUCAUCAGAUAGUUAUUACUGUUAAUCAGUAAGGCAAACGGAGGGAACUGAAACAUCUUAGUACCUCUAGGAGAAGAAAAUAAUUAAAUGAUUCCCUUAGUAGUGGCGAGCGAACGGGGAGAAGCCCAAACCACGGUUGUAGCAAUGCAAUCGUGGGGUAGUAGGAGCAUAAUAUUGUACUUUGAUUGUGAAUAGAAUGAACUGGAACGUUCAGCCAUAGCGGGUGAAAGCCCCUUAUAUGAAGUAAGAGAAGACAUAGUGUUAUCCUGAGUAACGCGGAGCACGAGAAAUUCUGCGCGAAUCAGCCGGGCCCAUCCGGUAAGGCUAAAUACUCCCAUGAGACCGAUAGUGAACCAGUACCGUGAGGGAAAGGUGAAAAGAACCUCGAUGAGAGGAGUGCAAUAGAUCCUGAAACCAUACGCCUACAAGCGGUCGGAGCUGCUUUAUGCAGUGACGGCGUGCCUUUUGCAUAAUGAACCUACGAGUUACCGUCACCGGCAAGGUUAAGGAUAUUGAUAUCCGUCAACCGUAGUGAAGGCGAGCCUGAAUAGGGCGUUUUAGUCGGUGGAGGUAGACGCGAAACCAAGUGAUCUACACAUGUCCAGGUUGAAGUCUCGGUAACACGAGAUGGAGGACCGCACCAAUAAGCGUUGAAAAGCUUCUGGAUGAGGUGUGUGUAGGAGUGAAAGGCCAAUCAAACUUGGAGAUAGCUCGUACUCCCCGAAAGGCAUUUAGGUGCCGCGUGCUAUGAUUUACAUAAGAGGUAGAGCGACCGAUAGGUCAAGAGGGCUUCACCGCCUAUCGCGACCUGACGAACUCCGAAUGCUUAUGUAUAGCAGUAGUGCAGUAAGGGGGCGGGUGCUAAGG